ACGGCCCAGACUCCUACGGGAGGCAGCAGUGGGGGAAUAUUGGACAAUGGGCGCAAGCCUGAUCCAGCCACGCCGCGUGAGUGAUGAAGGCCUUCGGGUCGUAAAGCUCUGUGGGGAGGGGACGAACGGCGCCAUGAAGAGUGGCGAUUGACGGUACCUCCUUAGCAAGCACCGGCUAACUUCGUGCCAGCAGCCGCGGUAAUACGAAGGGUGCAAACGUUGCUCGGAAUCAUUGGGCGUAAAGCGCACGUAGGCGGCUUUCUAAGUCGGAUGUGAAAUCCCUCGGCUUAACCGAGGACGUGCAUCCGAAACUGGGAGGCUUGAGUAUGGAAGAGGGUCGCAGAAUUCCCGGUGUAGAGGUGAAAUUCGUAGAUAUCGGGAGGAAUACCAGUGGCGAAGG
rnacentral:rRNA from 1 species